GUCUUUUUGGUAAUAAUAUAAAGUUUAAUCUGCCCACUGAUUAUAUUAAAGGGCCGCAGUAUAUUGACUGUGCAAAGGUAGCAUAAUAAUUAGUUUUUUAAUUGAAAGCUAGAAUGAAUGAUUGGACGAAAAUAAAUCUGUCUUAAGUUAAUUAUAUAAGAAUUUAAUUUUUAAGUUAAAAAGCUUAGAUUUUUUAUAAAGACGAGAAGACCCUAUAGAGUUUAAUAUUAUAAUAGUUUUAUUUAGGAAGAAUUAUUUUUAUAAGAUUAUAAAGGUAUUAUGUUGGGGUGAUGGAAAAAUUUGAAUAACUUUUUUAUUAUUAUUACAAUAGUUAUUGAAUUUUUGAUCUUAAAUUUGGAUUAAUAGAUUAAAUUACCUUAGGGAUAACAGCGUAAUUUAUUUUGAUAGUCCUUAUUGAUAAAUAAGAUUGCGACCUCGAUGUUGGAUUAAGAAUUAAAUUAAAUGUAUCAGUUUAAUAAUUAAGUCUGUUCGACUUUUAAUAUCUUACA
rnacentral:rRNA from 1 species